rnacentral:rRNA from 1 species
CACGGAGUUAGCCGGGGCUUCUUCUCUCGGUACCGUCAAUGCCACGACGUAUUAGGUCGCGACCGAUUCGUCCCGAUCGAAAGGAGUUUACGAUCCGAAAAUCUUCAUCCUCCACGCGGCGUUGCGUCGUCAGGCUUUCGCCCAUUGCGAACAAUUCCCCACUGCUGCCUCCCGUAGGAGUCUGGGCCGUGUCUCAGUCCCAGUGUGGCCGUCCGCCCUCUCAGGCCGGCUACCGAUCGUCGCCUUGGUAGGCCGUUACCCCACCAACUAGCUAAUCGGACGCGGGCCCCUCUUCAAGCGCCAGGUCUUGCGAUCCCCAGCUUUAAUCACCAUCUCUUCAAAGACGGGAUUUCAUGCGGUAUUAGCGUCCCUUUCGGGACGUUAUCCCCCACUCGAAGGCAGGUCACCCACGUGUUACUCACCCGUUCGCCACUCUACUCAGGGAUUGCUCCCCUUUCGCGUUCGACUUGCAUGUGUUAGGCACGCCGCCAGCGUUGAUUCUGAGCCAGGAUCAAACUCU